UACGUAGGGGGCUAGCGUUAUCCAGAUUUACUGGGCGUAAAGGGUGCGUAGGCGGUCUUUCAAGUCAGGAGUGAAAGGCUACGGCUCAACCGUAGUAAGCUCUUGAAACUGUAAGACUUGAGUGCAGGAGAGGAGAGUGGAAUUCCUAGUGUAGCGGUGAAAUGCGUAGAUAUUGGGAAGAACACCGGUGGCGAAGGCGACUUGCUGGGCAGCAACUGACGCUGAGGCGCGAAAGUCAGGGGAGCAAACGGGAUUAGAUACCCGGGUAGUCCCUGA
rnacentral:rRNA from 1 species